rnacentral:rRNA from 1 species
AGUGGCGGACGGGUGAGGUAAUGUGUGAGCAACCUGCCUUUCAGAGGGGGACAACAGUUGGAAACGGACUGCUAAUACCGCAUAAUGUAUUGGAGGGGCAUCCUUUUAAUACCAAAGGAGCAAUCCGCUGAAAAGAUGGGCUCACAUCUGAUUAGCUAGUUGGUGGGGUAACGGCCUACCAAGGCUGCGGUCAGUAGCCGGACUGAGAGGUUGAACGGCCACAUUGGGACUGAGAUACGGCCCAGACUCCUACGGGAGGCAGCAGUGGGGAAUAUUGGGCAAUGGGCGAAAGCCUUGACCCAGCAACGCCGCGUGAAGGAAGAAGGUCUUCGGAUUGUAAACUUCUUUUAUGAGGGACGAAGGAUGUGACGGUACCUCAUGAAUAAGCCACGGCUAACUACGUGCCAGCCGCAGC